AGAGUUUGAUUCUGGCUCAGAUUGAACGCUGGCGGAAUGCUUUACACAUGCAAGUCGAACGGCAGCACGGGAGCUUGCUCCUGGUGGCGAGUGGCGAACGGGUGAGUAAUGCGUCGGAACGUACCGAGUAAUGGGGGAUAACGCAGCGAAAGCUGUGCUAAUACCGCAUACGCCCUGAGGGGGAAAGUGGGGGAUCGCAAGACCUCACGUUAUUCGAGCGGCCGACGUCUGAUUAGCUAGUUGGUGGGGUAAUGGCCUACCAAGGCGACGAUCAGUAGCGGGUCUGAGAGGAUGAUCCGCCACACUGGGACUGAGACACGGCCCAGACUCCUACGGGAGGCAGCAGUGGGGAAUUUUGGACAAUGGGGGCAACCCUGAUCCAGCCAUUCCGCGUGAGUGAAGAAGGCCUUCGGGUUGUAAAGCUCUUUCAGCUGGAACGAAACGGUACAGGUUAAUACCCUGUGCUAAUGACGGUACCGGCAGAAGAAGCACCGGCUAACUACGUGCCAGCAGCCGCGGUAAUACGUAGGGUGCGAGCGUUAAUCGGAAUUACUGGGCGUAAAGCGUGCGCAGGCGGAUUGUUAAGCAAGAUGUGAAAUCCCCGGGCUUAACCUGGGAAUGGCAUUUUGAACUGGCAGUCUAGAGUGCGUCAGAGGGGGGUGGAAUUCCACGUGUAGCAGUGAAAUGCGUAGAGAUGUGGAGGAACACCAAUGGCGAAGGCAGCCCCCUGGGAUGACACUGACGCUCAUGUACGAAAGCGUGGGUAGCAAACAGGAUUAGAUACCCUGGUAGUCCACGCCCUAAACGAUGUCAACUGGUUGUUGGGGGAGUGAAAUCCCUUAGUAACGAAGCUAACGCGUGAAGUUGACCGCCUGGGGAGUACGGUCGCAAGAUUAAAACUCAAA
rnacentral:rRNA from 1 species